rnacentral:rRNA from 1 species
UACGUAGGUGGCUAGCGUUGUCCGGAUUUACUGGGCGUAAAGAGCGCGCAGGCGGUCGUUCAAGUCGAGUGUGAAAGCCCCCGGCUCAACUGGGGAGGGUCACUCGAUACUGGUCGACUUGAAGGCGGGAGAGGGAAGCGGAAUUCCCGGUGUAGUGGUGAAAUGCGUAGAUAUCGGGAAGAACACCUGAGGUGAAGACGGGUUGCUGGGCUGACACUGACGCUGAGGCGCGAAAGCUAGGGUAGCAAACGGG